rnacentral:rRNA from 1 species
UACGUAGGGUGCAAGCGUUAAUCGGAAUUACUGGGCGUAAAGCGUGCGCAGGCGGUUCGCUAAGACAGAUGUGAAAUCCCCGGGCUUAACCUGGGAACUGCAUUUGUGACUGGCGGGCUAGAGUAUGGCAGAGGGGGGUAGAAUUCCACGUGUAGCAGUGAAAUGCGUAGAGAUGUGGAGGAAUACCGAUGGCGAAGGCAGCUCCCUGGGCCAAUACUGACGCUCAUGCACGAAAGCGUGGGGAGCAAACAGG